AAUCGCCCCGUUUUUUGAAAUGGGUUCUAUUCCCAAACCGUGUAUACAUACCUUUGUUGCUUUGGCGGGCCGCCUUCGGGCGUUGGCUUCCAGCUGACUGCGCCCGCCAGAGGACCCAAACUCGUUUGUUUAGUGAUGUCUGAGUACUAUAUAAUAGUUAAAACUUUCAACAACGGAUCUCUUGGUUCUGGCAUCGAUGAAGAACGCANNGAAAUGCGAUAAGUAAUGUGAAUUGCAGAAUUCAGUGAAUCAUCGAAUCUUUGAACGCACAUUGCGCCCCUUGGUAUUCCGAGGGGCAUGCCUGUUCGAGCGUCAUUAUAACCAUUCAAGCCUUGGCUUGGUAUUGGGGUUUCGCGGUUCUGCGGCCCUUAAAAUCAGUGGCGGUGCCGUCUGGCUCUAAGCGUAGUAAUUCUCUCGCUAUAGGGUCCCGGCGGUGGCUUGCCAAAACCCUUCUAUUUUCUUACGGUUGACCUCGGAUCAGGUAGGGAUACCCGCUGAACUUAA
rnacentral:rRNA from 1 species